rnacentral:tRNA from 3 species
GGAGGAUUCGCAUAGUGGCCUAGUGCGCACGAUUGGAAAUCGUGUUGGGUGUAAAAGCCCUCAGGGGUUCAAAUCCCCUAUCCUCCG